AAUAGAUAGCCUUGAGUGUGUCCUUGUUCCACCAGUAGGCCUUGCCAAAGUCCCCAUAUUCCAGGAGAUAUGCCUAUUGAAGUUUAAAAUGAUCUCCAUAAUCCUUUGUUGUCUUGAGGCUCUCCCCUGCAGGAACUCCAGGAACUCCUGGUGCCGCCUGGGCCGAUGGAUUGGACGCCCCAGCCCCUCCGUUCCUGCCCAGCCACUGGGUCCGUGUCCAGUGGUGGCACUGCCAGCCCUGCAGUGGGAUGUAACCUGGAAAAUGCACAGAGCUGAGCCAAGGGAUUGAAAGGGACCAACCAAGGGAGGUUAAGAAGGGAAGUGAGGCAGCAGGCAAGCAGCACCAAGUUGCUGUGUAAACAGGUGAGUUGUGUUGAGGUUCCUAAGGCAGGCACUGAGGACUUUGAGGGCUCCAGACAGAGCAGACCUGGGAAGGCCCUCGGUGAAGCCCCUUGGAAACCUUCUAAGGGUAGGUGUGUAUGGUAAUGAGUGUUGGAAAAUGUCCUGUAUGUGGAACAGGAAUGCAGGGAAGGAAAAUGAAUCCUCCUGUAAUGCUGCCAUAUCAGCUGCAGUGGAGAUAGCUCUGUGUGCCCUUUGGGAGCUUAUUGCCAGGACUCGUAGUGGGCUGGAAUGAUUCAAGAGCGUAGGAAUAAAAGAUUGCCUGGCUUCUAAAACUCAUCAAUUGAGUCUCAGAGGUUCUUGUAUGAAAUUUUAGGUAACACCUGAACUUUUGUGUGUACUUCUGAGUUCAGCUGGAAAGAGAUUGUCCAGGGAAGAGGAAUCUUGCUCAGUGCAAGAAGUUGCACUUGGUGAACUUCCCAUCUGAGCUGAUGCCCUUGGCAGGAGAAGUGCUAAGCAAGGAGGCUCUUUGCUCCUAGGCAGGAAGAAAGGUCAGUGCCCUUCCUCCCCAAGGCCCAGCCCAGCAGGGCUGGCAGGAGCUGCUGGUGUGGCUGCUCUUUGGGUUCUCAGCUGUGGCUGUGGGGUGGUGACAUCGUGUUCCUGCCUGUGCUCCAGGGCAGCCAAAAGCCCCAGCCCAGCCCCUGGGCCUUUCUGGGAGCCUGAGCUAUUGCAGUACUGGGGAUGGGGGUUUGGGUUUUUGUUUCCCUAAAAGUAGAACCAUUGGGGGGGAUCUCUUAUCUCACAGUUGUUGUUGUUUUGAUAUCUUAAUUAAUUACAACUUGAGAAGAAAAGCUUUUGUAACUUAGCAACUGACUUGCACUGGUUACACUGAAAGUGCCAAGGAGUUGUAGUGUCCACUGGAUUGUUUGUAUUGAAGCAGUUUGGUGUUUACAGAGGGAUAAUAACUCCUGUCAGCAGUAAGGUCCUGACUGAAGUGGCAGCUGCAGUUGUUCCUGUGGUGUGGGCCAGUGGAAUUCCAAGAAAAUGGACAAGGACAGAACCUGCAGAAGAGCCCAGGCCUGAGCUGGCUGAGUGUUGGUGUGAGCCAGAGUGGGUGUCCCUGCCCUGGGGCCAGUCCCCAGAGCUGCCUUUGGCAUCCCCUGCUGAAGGGUGGGAGCUGCCCAGAGCCAGCAGCAUCCAGCUGGAGGAUCCAGGAGGAUGCAGCUCUGCUUUGCUGGGAGCUUGUCCAGGAGAUGGAAUUCCAGUGCUACAGUCUGGGUGGG